GCAUAGGUACGGACACUGCAUGGUGACCGUAUUAAAAAGUGCCUCAAAGCACUGGUAGAGGAUGGACUUAUGGCGCAUUAGCUGGUUGGCGGGGUAACGGGCCCACCAAGGCGACGAUGCGUAGCCGACCUGAGAGGGUGACCGGCCACACUGGGACUGAGACACGGCCCAGACUCCUACGGGAGGCAGCAUG
rnacentral:rRNA from 1 species